ensembl:lncRNA
CUUUUGCUGCUAUAACAGCCUCCACUCUUCUGGGACGGCCUUCCACUAGAUGUUGGAACAUUGCAGAGGGGACUUUCUUCCAUUCAGCCACAAGAGCAUUAGUGAGGAAGGAGAUACAGACAAGGCAGAACAUCUAAAAAGGAAGCUGAUAAAUCGGAGCAGGGUGACGGUUGGACUUCCUCCCCUCAGAGUGGAUUUCCCCUCCCUAACCUUGGGAAAGAGAUGCCACGUGCUCCACAGUUAGAGGUUCCACAUCUCUCUGACGAAGACCCUCUGCCAUGUUACCACCACCAACCUUCCACUGUGCCAGACUGCUGACUAGGUCAAGCCAACCAGGAGAGUAAUUGGGAGAGAAUAUCACUGCCCCAGCCAAUGCCAGACAGACAGACAGAUCAAGAUGACCUGGGAAAUCCAUUUGGGCAUUGGCUUACAUCACCUCUCCACACGGGAUCCAGUGAGGGGCCACAGGGAUGUGGAACAAUUGUUGCAGAUCAUGGAAUUCCCAUCGGUUGGAGCUUCCCGCCUGUUUCGUGGUGGAGCUAAAAGUAGCAUCUGCCAUCGUUCAGUCAGAGCAUCAAACUCUCCGAUUAGUUUCCUUCUCCUGACCCAUAAAGUUAGGGGAGCUGUGAAUGUUCUUCUCUCUGUACACUCACUGAGAUGUUUCACAUUGUGUAUAAACCCCAUGACAAACGGUAAGAUGGCGCUUGUCUGUUCUCUUUGAAGAGACUGUGUGGAGAUGGAUUGCACAGGCUCUGCUAUCUGACAGCUAGCUGGGCCUCUAAGUUCACAGUGUUACAGAAAAGCUGGAACAAGCGUGUGGACAUGGAGAAAACACACACUGAAAGACCAUCCCACAGAGAACUAGAAAGAUGUAGAAUGUACUGGAUGAAAUUUCCUAGUCUUUACAACUGACAUGGAGUCAGUCCAAGACACUCACCUUGAACUCUAAAUGGUACACUUCUGUUGUUCCUCUCAUUACCAUUCCUGUCAAGUCCUGUGUUCAUACUGGGAUUAGUACAUAGUUCUCACACCCAUAGGCGGAUGUCAUGAGCAAGACAUAGGUCAAAAGGUUGAAUGUUGUCUGUGUUGUAGGGGUACGGUGUUUAAAAAUGAUUUCUGUCAGAUGUCUGUCUACCUGCUGAAAUCCAAGUUCAGAAGACGUUGCUCUGCUCAGAAUGUAGCAGUUGAGGCAACACUCCCAAAGCAGUACAAAUGUAACAUUUGUUGUGGAGAAAAUAAAUCUGAGCUGUCCGAUACAUUUUAUGCAUAUUGUUGUUCAAAUUUCAGUGAUACAUUUCUGUAGACAAUGAGCAAAAAGCAUCCCUCAAUCGUACAGAGUGCACCUUUCACCAUACCAAGGGUACACACCAAUAACGACCCCAGGUGGCUAAGCAACACACAAACCAGUCCUUCAUUAACCAGUCACUAAGGUUGCUGAGGUGGCAAGUCGCUAAGGUCUGAACUCCAGCUCAAAGGUCAUGCCACAUGACAGCUGCAUUUCCUACAUGUUUUCACAGGUUCUCUAAUCACUGUAGAUUGACAACAGCACAGACGGUCCCAUUCAACCUCCCUGCCUGCCUCUCCCUCAGAUGCCUAGAUUAAACAAACACCCGUGGCCCGUCCUCACAGUCCUGAGUUGCAGCUCCC